rnacentral:tRNA from 1 species
GGCUUCGUAGUUCAGUUGGUAGAAUCCUCGCCUUGGGUGAAGAUGAUGGUCUCGAGCCAGAAUCUGUGAAGCUUAAGUCUAGCGAGAGGUCCCAGGUUCGAAUCCUGGCGAAGCCC